rnacentral:rRNA from 1 species
GACGAACGCUGGCGGCGUGCCUAAUACAUGCAAGUCGAGCGGACUGAAUGGGAGCUUGCUCUUGUUCGGUCAGCGGCGGACGGGUGAGUAACACGUGGGCAACCUGCCCGCAAGACCGGGAUAACUCCGGGAAACCGGAGCUAAUACCGGAUAACACCGAAGACCGCAUGGUCUUUGGUUGAAAGGCGGCGCAAGCUGCCACUUUCGGAUGGGCCCGGGGGGCAUUAGCUAGUUGGUGAGGUAAAGGGUCCCCAAGGCGAAGAUGCGGAGCCGGCCUGGGGGGGUUCACCGCCAACAUGGGAAUGGGACACGGACCAGACCCCGGCGGGGGGCAGCAGUAGGGAAUCUUCCGCAAUGGGCGAAAGCCUGACGGAGCGACGCCGCGUGAGCGAAGAAGGCCCUCGGGUCGUAAAGCUCUGUUGUGAGGGACGAAGGAGCGCCGUUUGAAGAAGGCGGCGCGGUGACGGUACCUCACGAGGAAGCCCCGGCUAACUACGUG